GAUGAACGCUAGCGGCAGGCCUAAUACAUGCAAGUCGAGGGGUAGUGGUUGCUUGCAGCCAUGAGACCGGCGCACGGGUGCGUAACGCGUAUGCAACCUACCUUCAUCUGGGGGAUAGCCCGGAGAAAUCCGGAUUAAUACCGCAUAAAAUCACAGUACGGCAUCGUACAAUGAUCAAACAUUUAUGGGAUGGAGAUGGGCAUGCGUGUCAUUAGUUAGUUGGCGGGGUAACGGCCCACCAAGACCGAGAUGACUAGGGGAUCUGAGAGGAUGACACCCCACACUGGUACUUGGACACGGACCAGACUCCUACGGGAGGGAGCAGUAAGGAAUAUUGGUCAAUGGGCGCAAGCCUGAACCAGCCAUGCCGAGUGCAGGAAGGCGGCCCUCUGUGUUGUAAACUGCUUUUAUUCGGGAAUAAACCUGCUUACGUGUAAGUAGCUGAAUGUACCGAAGGAAUAAGGAUCGGCUAACUCCGUGCCAGCCGCCACGGUAACAC
rnacentral:rRNA from 1 species